rnacentral:rRNA from 1 species
GACUACCGGGGUAUCUAAGCCCGUUUGCUCCCCUAGCUUUCGCGCCUCAGCGUCAGGUGCAGUCCAGGUGGCCGCUUUCGCCACUGGUGUUCCUCCGCAUAUCUACGCAUUUCACCACUACAUGCGGAAUUCCACCACCCUCUACUGCCCUCAAGCCCAACAGUAUCGGACAGCGUCUCCCAGUUAGGCUAGGAGAUUUCAUGCCCGACUUGCUGAGCCGCCUGCACGCGCUUUACGCCCAGUAAUUCCGGAUAACGCUCGUCACCUACGUUUUACCGCGGCUGCUGGCACGUAGUUAGCCGUGACUUAUUCUGGGAGUACUGUCCUUCCUCAUCCUCCCAAAAAGCACUUUACGACCCGAAGGCCUUCAUCGUGCACGCGGCGUUGCUGGGUCAGGCUUUCGCCCAUUGCCCAAUAUUCCCCACUGCAGCCGCCCGUAGG